rnacentral:rRNA from 1 species
AUUGAACGCUGGCGGCAGGCCGAACACAUGCAAGUCGAACGAGUGGCGGACUGGUGAGCAAUGUCUGGGCAACUGCCUGAUGGAGGGGGACAACUACUGGAAACGUUAGCUAAUACCGCAUACCAUCGGAUGUGCCCAGAUGGGAAUGCCUAGUAGGUGGGGUAAAGGCUCACCUAGGCGCCGAUCCCUAGCUGGUCUGAGAGGGUGACCGGCCACACUGGGACUGAGAGACAGGUCAGAAUCCUAAGGGAGGCAGCAGUGGGGAACAUUGCGCAAUGGGCGCAAGCCGGACACAGCCACGCCGCGUGUAUGAAGCAGGCCAUCCGGUAGUAAAGUGCUGUCGGCGGCGAUGCGGUACCCGCAAAAGAAGCACCGGCUAACACCGUGCCUGCAGCCGCGGUAAUUC